rnacentral:rRNA from 1 species
UGUUGCCAGCACGUCGUGGUGGGAACUCACGGGGGACCGCCGGGGUCAACUCGGAGGAAGGUGGGGAUGACGUCAGAUCAUCAUGCCCCUUACGUCCAGGGCUUCACGCAUGCUACAAUGGCCGGUACAACGGGAUGCGACGCGGCGACGCGGAGCGGAUCCCUGAAAACCGGUCUCAGUUCGGAUCGCAGUCUGCAACUCGACUGCGUGAAGGCGGAGUCGCUAGUAAUCGCGAAUCAGCAACGUCGCGGUGAAUGCGUUCCCGGGCCUUGUACACACCGCCCGUCAAGUCAUGAAAGUGGGCAGCACCCGAAGCCGGUGGCCUAACCCCUUGUGGGAUGGAGCCGUCUAAGGUGAGGCUCGUGAUUGGGACUAAGUCGUAACAAGGUAGCCGUACCGGAAGGUGCGGCUGGAUCACCUCCUUU